CUGUAGUGAAACACACGCUAGUUGGUUAAACACUGGUUUAUUUCACAAAGUACCCUCCAUAAGUACAUAAUAACACCACAUCUUCCCCCUUAUAAAUAAAGCUAUAAGCAAUCUUAAUUUUAAUUAACACUUAAUAACUUAGCUGUAAGUACAAAUAAUUAUAGGUAAAUAUGCGUAAGUUCCUGAAUCCCACCGCUGUCACCAUGUAGUGAAACACACGCUAGUUGGUUAAACACUGGUUUAUUUCACAAAGUACCCUCCAUAAGUACAUAAUAACACC